GUCUACUUGAAGCUAUAAGUAGUCUGGCCUGCUCACUGAUAAAAUUAUUUAAGAGCCGCGGUAUAUUGACCGUGCAAAGGUAGCAUAAUCAUUAGAGGUUUAAUUGGAAUCUGGUAUGAAUGGUCGGACAAAGGAAAAACUGUCUUUAUAAUAAAAAUUGAAAUUUACAUUUAAGUGAAAAGGCUUAAAUAGGCCGGGGGGACGAUAAGACCCUAUAAAGCUUUAUAAAUAAUUUAAAUUUAGUUAAUUUAAAUUAUAAAAGCUAAGUUUGGUUGUUUUAUUUUGUUGGGGUGAUGUGAGCAUAAUUAAAAUUAACUGCUUAAAAAAAAUUCUGUAUAAAAGAAUUAUAGUAAUAUGAUCCUUUUUAAAGAUUAAAAGACUAAGUUACUUUAGGGGUAACAGCGUUAUUUCUUUUGAGAGUUCAUAUCGAAAAAGAAGAUUGCGACCUCGAUGUUGAAUUAGAGUAUCUAUAUAAUGCAGCCGUUAUAAAAGAGGGUCUGUUCGACCUUUAAAUUUUUACAUGAUUUGAGUUCAGACCGGCGUGAG
rnacentral:rRNA from 1 species